rnacentral:rRNA from 1 species
CAACAGGGAUUGCCUUAGUAACUGCGAGUGAAGCGGCAAAAGCUCAAAUUUGAAAUCUGGCGUCUUUGGCGUCCGAGUUGUAAUUUGGAGAGAUGACUUCGGUGCUGCCGGCCGUCCCAAGUUCCUUGGAACAGGACGUCACAGAGGGUGAGAAUCCCGUGUCUGGUCGGCUGGCGUGUGCCAUGUGAAGUCUCUUCGACGAGUCGAGUUGUUUGGGAAUGCAGCUCAAAAUGGGUGGUAAAUUUCAUCUAAAGCUAAAUAUUGGCGAGAGACCGAUAGCGCACAAGUAGAGUGAUCGAAAGAUGAAAAGCACUUUGAAAAGAGAGUCAAAAAGUACGUGAAAUUGUUGAAAGGGAAGCGCUUGAGAUCAGACUCGGCCGUCGGUGAUCAUCAGUCCUUNUGGGCUGUGCACUGGCCGACGGUCGGACCAGCAUCGGUUGUUGCGGUGGGAGAAAGGCGAGGGGAAUGUGGCCAACUUCGGUUGGUGUUAAGCCCCUGGCGCAAUGCCACCUGCGGCGACCGAGGUCCGCGCAUCUGCUAGGAUGCUGGUGAAAUGGUCUUCAGCGACCCGUCUUGAAACACGGACCAAGGAGUCUAACAUCUAUGCGAGUGUUUGGGUGGAAAACCCUUGCGCGUAAUGAAAGUGAACGUAGGUGGGAACCCGCAAGGGUGCACCAUCGACCGAUCCUGAUGUCUUCGGAUGGAUUUGAGUAAGAGCAUAGCUGUUGGGACCCGAAAGAUGGUGAACUAUGCCUGAAUAGGGUGAAGCCAGAGGAAACUCUGGUGGAGGCUCGCAGCGGUUCUGACGUGCAAAUCGAUCGUCAAAUUUGGGUAUAGGGGCGAAAGACUAAUCGAACCAUCUAGUAGCUGGUUCC